AGCCUCUGAAUCUGCAUUUAGCAUCGGAGGUCAUGUCAUUGGAAAGUUUCAAAGUUCUAUUCUUCCUGCAAAUGCUGAGGCGAAACUAUGUACUAGGGAUUGGAUUUGUGGACAAGAAGAUCUUGAUGGAUUCGAAUCAGAUUCUGAUGAAGAUGAGAUUGUUGUUGACCUUCAACCUUAUGUUGAUAAACUUAGAGAUCAUCGCAUCUCAAAGGACAAUCUACAAUAGCAGAAAUCACUGAGAGUUUGUGAAAAUUUUGUUGGAACUGGUGGCCUUGUAGGUGCAGCAUUUUUGUCUUUUUAGAGUUAACAUGCUGCCGAGCAAUUAAUAAUGGAUCUCCAGUUGAUCAGUUGGCGGAAGCAGGAUUAACACCAUCUCAUAUUGCAGCAACAACAUUUAACAUACUUGGACAAACCAUAGAGGCUUUAGAGGUCAUGACAUAAGAUGGAAGAAGUGU